UACGUAGGUGGCAAGCGUUGUCCGGAAUUAUUGGGCGUAAAGCGCGCGCAGGCGGUUUCUUAAGUCUGAUGUGAAAGCCCCCGGCUCAACCGGGGAGGGUCAUUGGAAACUGGGAAACUUGAGUGCAGAAGAGGAAAGUGGAAUUCCAAGUGUAGCGGUGAAAUGCGUAGAGAUUUGGAGGAACACCAGUGACGAAGGCGACUUUCUGGUCUGUAACUGACGCUGAGGCGCGAAAGCGUGGGGAGCAAACAGG
rnacentral:rRNA from 1 species